rnacentral:tRNA from 1 species
CCUUCGAUAGCUCAGCUGGUAGAGCGGAGGACUGUAGUGCUGUUGUGCCUGGUCAUCCUUAGGUCGCUGGUUCGACUCCGGCUCGAAGGA